rnacentral:tRNA from 1 species
GGGCGGUUAGCUCAGCUGGUUAGAGCGCAUGCUUCACACGCAUGAGGUCACAGGUUCGAAUCCCGUACCGCCCA